AAAAUUUUGUCUUUUGCCUAUGUCUAAGUAGGGAGCAUUAUUGAAUAAAUUUGGUCUUGAAAUCUAAAGUUGGGGAGAGUAAAUUAGAAGAGUUGAUUAGAAACUUGGAAAAGUGAUGUUUUAGAAAAGGUGAAAUUGUGAAAAGAAACAAGAAAAAAAUAAGUCACCUUUGAAAUUAUGGAGCAAAGAAAAAGAAAAGAAAAAAAAACAAAGAGAAAGCUCAUGGUUGUGUGGAUGUGAAAAAUAAGAAAAGAAGAAAGAUUGGGAUCAAAGAAACGAAAAUUGUUGUUGAGUUUGAAUUUAUGGGAAUGCUCCCUUAGG
rnacentral:lncRNA from 1 species